UACGUAGGGUCCGAGCGUUGUCCGGAAUUAUUGGGCGUAAAGAGCUCGUAGGCGGUUUGUCGCGUCUGCUGUGAAAUCCCGAGGCUCAACCUCGGGCCUGCAGUGGGUACGGGCAGACUGGAGUGCGGUAGGGGAGAAUGGAAUUCCUGGUGUAGCGGUGGAAUGCGCAGAUAUCAGGAGGAACACCGAUGGCGAAGGCAGGUCUCUGGGCCGAAACUGACGCUGAGGAGCGAAAGCGUGGGGAGCGAACAGG
rnacentral:rRNA from 1 species